CUAACGCUAUCUAGAGGCCUUCCUCUAAAGUCACCUCCAUUAACAUAUAUCCAGGUGUGAGGAAGAAGGCUUUUCAGGAGUAACGAAAGACACUCAGCAAAUUCCGAGGCUUUUAGGAGUUCUGUGCCAGGACUGAGGACAAAAACAAAACUUAUUUCUUAUUAUACCACAAAGUUAAAAGCAAGAGGAAGAAGGCAAGUAAAACUGAAAGAACAGUUUUUAUAACUCAUAGAAAGAAUAUACAAUAUUUCAUAUAUAAUAGUAUGUUACAUGUAUAAAACAUCUAUUAUAUACACAGCAGCCUAAUCAUAGAAAAUAUUUGUAAACUGGGUAAAAAUUAGUAGCAAGCAGUUUGCCUUAGUAAAGGACAAAAUCCAAGGUGGUGGUUACACUAUCAAUACAAGAUGUGCUGUAAAAAGAUGAAUUCCUGCAGUAAUGUCUUUUAUAUAUCACUUCAGAAUUCAGAUUGAAGUCUAGAGAAGACUCAACAUGUAGAGCAUUUAAGAGGAACAGGAAACUUGUUAUAUACAUUUCUACUGUGCUAGCCAAGAUUCCUCACUUUAGAACAUGCAUUUGUAACAGAAACCCUACAACAGCAUUCCCUCACGCUGGAUCUGUCACUAUGCAACUUCCCUAUAAGGAGGCAGUAAGAUACUUCUCUUUUCUCAAAAUGAGGUACCAGCCUUCCACACCACUCCCACAUUAAAGUGUGCCUUUAACAUAACUGUUGAGUUUGAUACUUUAAUUCUUACUAGACUUUAACUAGGUCUAGAUGUAAUGGUUUCAGACACCCAGGGAAAGAGACCAGUCAACCAUCAAUACUCGACACCAGUGUCGAAAUGUGAUUCCCCAGAUCAGCCACAUCAGCAACACCUGGGAACCUGAUGGAAAUACUUAUUAUCAAGCCCCAUCCUAGACUUACUGAUUCAGAAACUCUGUGGGGUGGGCCCAGCAAUUAACGAGAUGACCAGGUGAUUAUGAUGCAUGCUCACAUUGUGAAACCAGUGUUCCAGACACUGCUGGACUAUUCUCUUUUUUUUAAUUCUGUUACUCUUUUUUUCAGUAUACAAGACUCUUAGAGAGCUCAGAGAUUUUUCUGUCCCCACAGAAUGGGAAGUCAGAUGAUAAGAAACUUGAAUAAACAUAGUUUUCCUGAUAUUUUCUGGAUUCACUGAAAGCAUUUUUUUUUUCUUUUCUAAACAUCAUUUAACCUGGAGGCAACACAUUUUCUUUUCAAUAACUUGUCAUGGUUACUCAUGACUUCUUCUAGAUCACAAGAUUCAUUCCUGAGCCUUUUAAAGAUCUUUUUAAAAACAUGUUUCAAUUACCCAUUAUCAAUACUCUAUGCCAAUGAGCUUUGAAUCAUUUUAUAUUCCACUGAAUAUAGAAAAAUAGGAAUGUAUACACUUUGGAGCCAGUCUGCCUUAGCCACUUAUAAGCAGUGUGACCUUGGGCAAGCUACUUAAUUUCUCUAGGUCUUAGUUUCCUCGUCUAUACACUGUAGAUAAUAAUAACACCUCUCAUAUGUGGUUGUUAUAGGAUUAACUGUUAAUAUAUACAACAGUACCUGCACCAGUAAGCAUCACGAUAAAUGCUAUUACUAUCAUAACUAUAGUAGUUCAGGGACCUAGACAACACAGAGGGAAAGCCACCCUAGGGUUAGGACAACUGAUCAAUACUAAGGAGAGGUGGGAAUCUCCCUUGGAACUGCACGAAAGAGUAGAUACAAAGAGCAAGGAACUACUCUACAACUGCAGAUACAGUUCUCCUUAAAAGGGAGAUAAUACGUAACAGUCUAGAACCAGAAAGUAAAUGACUCAUGAUCAAACCUAAUUUGCCACCAAUAUGAUACUGACCUAAAGACUUAAAUGAAGACUCAAGAAAAAGACGUUAAGAGAUUAAAGUACAAAUCAAUCCACAGCACAAGUCAGGAUUAUGGUUUUCAUAAGGUUCCAUGUUAAUGAAUAAGCUAGAAAAUCUUCUAGAGUGACUCUCUGUUUAAUCACUCAUUUAUGCCCUUAAAUCAGGCAAGCUCAAAGAAAGAUCACUUUACUUUUGCUUACCAUCAAGAGAAUUCUGAAUGACACAUACAUCAUAAUCAGAUUACACCAUAAAGGUAACAAGAAAAGCUAUAUGAAAAAUUAACAAAAAGCUUACCUGGCUUACAUGGUUACAAUUUAUGGAUAAUAAUCAAAGAUAUUAAGAAAAAAAUCAUUAACCCACUUUUCUCAUUAGGAAAUCAUUUGAUUUGAAAUCUCAAAGUACAGAUGCAAGACCUCAAAUAGACUCCACUCUGAUCUGUGGUUUAAAUAUAUUCAGAACUGCUUAGUUUUCGUCAUGAUGGAACCUUUUCUGGAUUUUCAGGGCAAUUUCAGGACAAGACACUGCCCACCCCAAUUAGGGCUAGGGUGAAAGUGUGUUCUAAGUAUUCAACUGCAAGUGAGAAAUCACAAAAGGAAGGCUGUGUUCCUGCUGACUUUAAUAAAUCAAUGGCAAACUUACCUGUUACAGUAUUAAAUGUGCCCUUACCAGAUUAUGAUAUUGCUCUUUUACAUCUAAAACCCUUGCAUGUGACACAAAUUCUCCUUGGUCACUCAAAGUAUUCUAUUAUUGUGACAGGCCAGGUCAACCACUGUAUCACAGGAACUCAGCACACAGGCUAAUUUGUAUAUUUCUCCACAUAUAGUCCAGUAUGUUGCAUUAUUUUGAAAUAUUAAAAAAGAAGAGAAUCCCUAUAAACCCAGGGCAGUUUGAAAAAUCAAUCAUUUUGGCUUAGGAUGGACAGUCUCCAAAUAUGGAGCUGUCUAUUUUAUGCAAUGGUCAGCUUGCCCUCCUGGGACAUAUUUAAGUAGAGGCAAGCUGACUUUCUUAUAGGGGAGACAGGGUGGGUGAUUUUAAACAGAGCUCUAAGGGCCCGUGGGCCUCUAACAGGGCCCAAGAAGACUUACCUGCCAGAGCCUUGAUGCGGGACCGCUCGAAGAGCCUUGCAGAACUGUUCUCGUUGUCCCAGUCGUCCACAUCCCAGCGGUUGUUGACAUCGCUGUACUGCUGUUGGAUCUCAAUGUUGUCAUAGUCUGUGGCUACUGUGGUCGUCAUCUUGAACUGUCUCAGCUGCUCCUCCACAUCAGAUCCUUCUUAGAGUUCUUUGAGAAAGAGAAAGAAAACCUAUUUAGACAUCUAAUAUGCACUGGGUGCCCAUGAAACCCGCUGGGAUAAAGAGUGACUGCUGUGCCAGGGAAGAGGUCAGCUACACAGGCAGGGAAUAUCAGUGCUUCUCCUGCCUCACCGCCACGGAGGGAACAUGGCAAUGACAACAAGUGCCUUCUUCUCAAGGUCUCUGGAACCGGCUCCUGACAAGAAUAACAAACCUUCACCAUCAGCUUCCAGAUGAUAGCAGAGGUGAGGCCUUCGGGGCCACAAAGCAGAAAACCACCAGCUUCCCGAACAUCAUAGCUACUGUCUCUCA